ACAGAAUUUAGAAGUGACAAUAGCACACUUUAUAGUUUUCUCUCUAACUUCCUUGAAAACGAUAAAAAAAAAGAAAUAUCAAUUAUACAUACAUGUAUGUAUAUACAAACGAUUCAGCCCGAAGGUAUGCAUACAUAUUUUGCGGAUACUGCAUUGCGUUGGCUCGAAUGUAUUUUAAAUAAUUUUUACAUUUUCAGUGAUUUUAUGAGCUUCAUUACCAAAUGCCUGUAUGAAAAUUAAUUAAAAACAACUUAUUAGAAAUAAAAAAAAAUGAUAAACCUUCAAUCAACCGGAGUAGAACUGCAGUCUUUCUUUUGGGAAUCAUGCUCUGUAUGCGUAUGCAUUUUUGAUUUAUACGUUUGCUUGCUUUUUAACGUUAGUAUUUAUUAAGAAAUAAUUAUUGUUUUGUUGGAAUGGGGCAGAUCGUGACCACCACAAACAUUUGAUUUAGUGCUCGUUGCGUUCUGUGAAGCCCACCGUCUUAAAUAUUAAUGAAAUUAUGUCUUCCUUUAUUAACAGCCGAGCGGACUUGCUCUCUUUCCAUAUUGCCACAGAAGUUCGGGGAAAACGCUGUUGUACUAUCAGGAGGCCGACAAAAAACUUUGGGGGUGCCAUUCUCGUCGUUGGGCUUGGUCUCAAGUGAAUUCCCUUCGAGUCCACGCAAAUCCAGUUCUAUGUGCCAUCCAUAGCGCAGCGUAUUCCCGAACCAACGUUGCGGACCACCGUUACGAGCGCACAAAAAAAACUACCCCGACAAAAUUAUAAUGAAGUUGGUGGUGGUGCAGAGGAAAGCAAAGUGUGCGUCGAAAACAGGGUACGGCGACCAGUAACGGAGAACAAGACCUGGGUCCCGUGGUCCGGGGUCCUGGGCACGGGACCAAGAGAAUCGGGUGGAGUGGGCUUUCUUUGCCACCUUCCUUCCGCCUGCUUGUGCAGUUGGAACACCACCACCCUGGGUUAAAAUUAAAAAAGCGAAAACAAAAACUCGGCGCGUUGGAUGUUGUAUGCAUGUAUGUAAGUAUCUGCUUGCGUAGGUACAUAAAAAACGAGAUCAUCCACGGUGAUGAAACAGAAGCAUCCCCAGUGCCCCUGGAAUGUACAAAUGUAUGCAUGUGUGUAUGAUUUUAUGUAUGUAUGUAAUUAUGCAUGCAUGUGCGCGCACACAGCAGAGCAUCGAAGGUAUGGCAGUGUGUGUACGCACGCACCAUUUAUGCAUGUGCUUAUUUGUCGCUUUGAGGAAUGCUUUAACUUCUGUUGUCCGCUCUCCUUUCUGGUGACCUGUGACCCUGACUGUGCGUGAAAGGACGACCGGAGCCCCACCAUUGCAGGUAAAAACAAUUUAAUUAUCAAACAAGAAAUUUUAAAACUCAGGUUUGCUCUUUGUUGAUAACAGAAAUGAAGAAGGUGACUUUUUGCUGAGAGUAACCAAUACAAUUUUUGGCAAUUGUAAUUAUAAUAUUAUGCUUAUGAAUGAAAAUGUUGAUUAAUCUAAAAGUCAUGAAUAAAGUAGGUUAACAUGGCAUGGGAGAUGCGUGCAUUCGUGUGUUUUUGUUUAAUGUGUAUUUUGGUAUAAUGUUAGCAACCAGAUGUUUAUUAGACAAAAUUACAACAAUUUGUUAUUUUUAUACUUUUUACGAUGUUUAUAGGGUAUUUCAGAUUCAUUAAAAAGUCCAUACGUAUGUAUGUAAGUGGUAUUAAAUUGGGCCCUGAUCACGAGCCAUGUCCGUUUGCCUGUAUGUUAGUAUAAGUGCCUAUUUGUAUGUCAACAUUUUAAGCUAUCGCCCUAGCAUUCCCAUAAUCUAAGUAACAGUCUGAGUAACAGUUGAGGAACUCACUAUAGCGUUCUCAUGGAUAUUUAUAUUUUUAACAGAAACUGUAAUUAUAGUCGAUUUUGGCUCCUAAAUCCCAAACGCAAGCGUGUUAUCUUGAAAAAACACAACAGUUAAACAGAUUCGGAAUUUGAAUUCUAAUAAUGAAAACGGAUUACUAUUUACAAGUUAUAGGCGAAGGCACCUGAUAUACAGUGUUAUUGUGGAUUUACACUUAAAUUUGCUUAUAACUGGAAAACUUUGUCUUGAACUAUAAAUUAUUAUAAAAAUCUUGGUAUACAAUCCCUUUAAAUUCUGUGUUACCUUUCGAUUGGUGUAUCUCCAUGAUUGGACUACAGAUCUCAAUUCUUCGUGAAUAUCUGUAAAGUAGUCGAAAAAUCUCUCUCUCCGAAAAGAUAUUAAAACAUUUUAAGGGCCUGACAGUUUUGUGUGGUUCGACGUUCUAAAACAAACUUGAGCCGCGCCCGCUUUACUAAUGCCUAACCUCAACUUCCAAGUUUUUUCCCAGAUCGCAGCCGUCAAACAGAGAGACAUGCCGGAUGGCCAUAUAGAUAGACGGGCAUCCGGCCCUGGCCAAAUCGAGUCAACUAGGAUCGGAAAGGCUCCUUGUUACGCACUUCACAUCUCUACGAGUAACGGGAAUAAUUAUAAGUGUUGUAGAGGGUAUAUUGAUUUCAGUCGCAAGUUUGCAACGCAAUGAAGGAGACAUAUGCUACGAUAUAAAGAAUACUAUAAUAAAGCUUCAUUUCUUGUUUUUAA